CGGAGAUAAACUCUGCAGGACACCGGAUCUUCACACAUAAGACACAUCUGUGUGGUACCUGCUGCGACCGGGACGAGACGAGUCAGGUCAACUGGGCUUCAAAUCACUCCUCAGAUGGGAUGUCAUGCUAACGUUUGUCACCCCGGCCAAUCGGACCCCUGAAACAAUGGCAGUGGUGCUCCUCAGUGGCCUGAAGACGCCCCGAGGUGGAUUUAGCUGGCGUCCGUAUGGAAGGGAUUGGAGCCUAUCAGCAGGAACAGA